rnacentral:tRNA from 1 species
CGCGGAGUAGAGCAGUCUGGUAGCUCGUGAGGCUCAUAACCUUGAGGUCACAGGUUCAAAUCCUGUCUCCGCCA